GCUAGGUUAGCCAAGUGGAACGGCGACCGCCUCGAGAUCAAAACAAGGUAGCGGUUAUGCGCAAGCAUGCAGGGGUUCGAAUCCCUUACCUAGCG
rnacentral:tRNA from 1 species